GUUUCGGCACGGUGGCCAUAGCGGAAGGGAAACACCCGGUCACAUUC
rnacentral:rRNA from 1 species